CUCAGGCUGAAGUUGACUGGUAGGCUAAAGGCCCAACAAUGUCUCCAAUAUUCCUCUCUCGAGGCGUCGGAUAUUUCAUUAUGCUUGUUUGAUGACUUGAAUUAUUCAUUUCAUCUCUCAAUUAUAAUGGAAGGUCUGGAGAACCUACAAUACUUAUGCACUACUACGUUAGAGUGAUCAACAUUUUGGGUUGGUCCAAAGGAAAUAAUGAAAUAAAGUGCCAAAAAUGGCACAAUAUUCAGAGAAGCAUACUCUAAUGGUAGACAUGGUUGAGUUGAUUUUGGUCAAUUGUGGUAAAACUACACCUUUUAUUUCCACAUACUGUAGAUAGUUACAGAAACAUAUACACCUUUGUUGAAACUGUAGAAAGUAUAAAUACAAAAAUAAUUGAAAUGUGUCUAUUUGGUAUAGGAAAAAGGUAAUCAAAGCAAUGGAUCAAUUUCUAAUUCUACAAAGCAUGUUGAGUAAUAUAGCAUCACCACCUCAGUACAUAAUAGUAUGCGAACAUAAAAUUACCUGGCUUGGUGAUCACAAAAGCAGCAAUGAAGACAUGUAGAAAUGCGUUAAUCCCUUAUAUAUACAAAACCGUGCGAGUCAUUAAAAUUCCACAUCAAUAUUUGGCUAUCCUGUGAGCCAAGGUGAGCCAAGGUCCAGUGCUCACCUUCACUAUGCUCCCUGGAAUGCCUGAAAAUCAAAAUCGGCAUAAACGCUCAAUGAGAUGUCAAAAACAAUUCCCUGCGCAACAAUAAUAUAUUCUAUAAUUUAACUGAAUAAUAGUUUUGUGGUGUACUAAUUGGUGGGAUAGAAUAGAGCAGUGAAUACUGUCUAGCAACACAACUAAAAUGAGCAUACAUAUGGAGGAAAAAUGGACAACAUUUAAUACAUCCCAAAGAAUUACUUGAGGAAAAUGCAAGAAUAUAAAGCAGUGGCAGGUGGAGCGUUACCAAAGAGGACCACUCAGCUAGAAGCCUGAAAGCCUUUAACCUGAAGUAUACAAAACAGGAUAAGAAUUAGCAGUUAAAGCUUCAUGACAAGCAAUAGCAUCAUUGGAAAAAUAAAAGCACCAAAAAACUGAAGCAAUCGAGAGAAACUGUUGGAAGCAUAAAGUGCUCCCUUGUCAUUAUUAAGCGUACAAAAUCAUGAUUUAUCCACUUACCAUAAUAUCCCAAAGUCAAGAGUAAACGUCUUUGUAUGCAAGAAGGUGGUACUCCUGCACAGGCUAGCAAGCUUAACAAUUAAAAUUGCUAAAAACAAAAAAAAAAGCGGUCGAGUGGCACAACCUUACCUUAAUCUUCGCAAUGCUGAUUUGACGACCGACACUGGCAAGCAGCCCAAACGACGCAAGCGCCCAGCCAGGAGCGGCCAGCGCAGAUUACGAUCGAGUGGCACAACCUUACGACAACAUAGCAAAGAAAUUCCAUGGUAAGAGUUUUUAAUUUCAUGAUGGCCUAAUAACGAUAAGCGUUGACGAAGGUAAUGUCAUAGGGAAAAAUGAGAACUAACCUUGUGGUUGCAUAGUUGUAUAUUUUGCACAACCCAUUAGUGUUUCAUGGCUGAUCUUGUUUGCUUUAGGUAAAUUGCCUUCCAGGUUUCGUAAGAUGCAACCUAUUAUGAACCAAUAUGCAUAGUACCUUACAAAAUGAAUACCAAAGUCACUGUGACAUUCAGUAGGAGAGUAAAAAAAAUAGGAUUAUAAUCUUAGAUCAUAUCAUCACUCUGUAGAAAAUGAAGUAAAAGUAAUGCAUAAAGUAUAGGUACAUUGCAUGCAAAUUUUGUACCAAUCUAGUAGUAAACUCCCUUCAUGGUCCACAAAAGAAUUGAACAAUAGCUCUCAGGAGUAGUUUACGGGAAAGAAAAAUAGAAUACUAUACACAAAAGGUCAGGAAAGGCACCGAGGAGACGGGGACUCCAGGUUUAACCAUCUGGUCUUUAUUUUGUGACGUGGCCAACAACCAUCUCAAGUGUGGUAUAGUUACUGUAUCAUCACACCCUACAUUGGUUCGAUUGUAGAAUUGUCAGUAGAUAAAAUGGUAAACACGCCAUCUAAAUCCUCACAACUAAAUCAUUAUAAAUGAUUGUAAGAAAUAAGAAAGAGGGGGAGUAUCCGAGAGAGUUUGAUAUAUUCCAUCAAGAAAACCGCAACAGCAGCCUCUAGCAGGAGUAGAUGAGGGGAGGAUGAGGUGAGGCGGCAGUGCGCACGGCGGUAAAUAGGGUGCGGGGUAGGUCACGACCGGUGGAGGUGGGGAACAGCGGCAAACAUCAAUUCUUUGGCCUCCUGCGUGUCUCCUCCCAUCGCUGCCGAGCUGCUACUACCCCCACCAGUGAGCUCAACACAGCUGACGACCCUGGAUCUACCACAUCGAACCAUCAACUUUGGAUCUGGAUUAGAGAAAGAGGGAAAGUGUACACAAAGAAGGGUGGGUGAGCAGGGCCAUCACCUGUGGAGCUCACCGCUGGGGAACACCGUCCGGCAUCGACACCGCUAGCGCUUGCCCACUACUUCGAUUGACCAGAUCUGCCAGCAAGGAGGCCGUGGCUGCCGGAUUGGGCACCCACGGCCUCCCCUUCGAGCGGGUGUCGGCGGUGGCGUAGCAAGGAGUGAAAAGCAUCCACAGCAGGGAGGAGAGCAGGAGGCAGCCACGGCGGUGCAUCGCACAGGAGAGGGCGAGAGAGAUGAAAGGGGGCGAUGCAGAAAAGCUAACCAUCUUCCCCUCCUCUCCUUGCCCUCCCUGCCCCUCGGGCGAGCUCUCCUCCUCCCUUCUAGCGCUGCCCGCGGCGGUCGCCGGAGGACGGAGGCAGCGAGGUGUCGCAUCCAACCAGUGGUGAACGUGCACCCGCUUGCCAGCCACACGGUCGGCACCACUUCUUAGGACCUAUUUUUGACAGAGGCCAAAAAAAAAAGAAAAAAAAAGAAACUAAUUUGCUUUCUUGUUUGCUGCCGCUUUGCUCUUGCGCUCCCGCCGUCGCUCUUUACUGUAUGACGAUGUCGUCUUCAUCGGGCACCGUUUCUAUUCCUCGUUGUCCGGUUCUUUCUGAUGGUGUCAACUACAGUCAUUGGGCUCAGCACAUGCAUCUUCACAUGCGUGGUCAGCGUCUUUGGGAUAUUUUGUCUGGUGAGCUGCCCUGCCCGCCUUGCCCCAAUGCUCCUCGUAUGCCACACUUUCCGCUCAGUCUUCUGCCGAAGACAAAGCGAAGGCGCAAGAGGCGUACGAUGAUGCUAUGGAAGAUUAUCAAAAUCAGUAUGCUCUGUAUAAGGCUUGGUUAGAUAAGGAUGCUCGUGCUUCUGCUAUUCUUGUGGCUAAUAUGGAGGUUCAUCUCACUGGUGCUGUGGUUACUCUUGCUUCUGCACAUCUUAUGUGGACACACUUGCGAGACCGUUAUGCGCCUACUUGAGAUGCUCUUUAUCUUGCUAUGGUGCGUCAAGAGCAGUCAUUGCAGUAGGGGGAUGCUACAGUUGAUGAGUUCUAUACACAGUUGACUUCUAUCUGGCGUCAGCUUGAUUCCUUGGGACCAGCGAUCUGCCACACUUGUCAGUGUUGCCAGCAUCAGCGUGCUCACAUGGAUCUUCGUCGCAUCUACGACUUUCUCACAUGUCUUUGAUCAGAGUAUGAGUCAACACGUGCCCAGUUGCUUGCUCGACACCCUCGGGUUACCAUGGUGGAGGCUCUUACAGAUAUUCGUUCAGAAGAGAUUCACCUUCGAGAAGCGGGUAUUCUACCGCCUCCCUCUUCAGUGUUAGCCGUUCGUCCUGAAGCCUCUUCGGUUUCUUCGAAGUCGAGUACAACUCCCUCCUUUACUUCGCCGGCACGUACUUCUCCGGUUGUGUCCUCUACUAGCAGCCAUCUUCACUUCACCUAUUGUGAUAAAGAUGGACAUGUGGAGUCCUUUUGCUUUCGGAAGAAGAAGGAUUUACGGCGUGGUCGUUCCUCACAGGUUACUUCGGGUUCUUCUCAGAAGAGUACUGGAAGUUCUUCUCAAAAGAGGACUGGAAGUUCAGAUACACAACGCAUAAACGUACCACAGGAGUAGACAGAGAUUUUUCGGUUUUUUUUUAACCUUUCCAACUUCAGAUCAGAGAAACGAGGAGGGCAGCAGGCAACAACGACCAGGAGCUGGCGGCGCCCCGAUGAGAGGUCGCCUGCAAAAAGGGGCGACGACUUGCGGCCGCAGGCCGAGCCGCAACAAACGACCAGCAGCCGGCGACAAGGAGCACGACAUGCGGCCGUUGGCGGUGGUGCGACGAACGAGCAGCUGCCCUCGACGAUGCGGUGGCCAGCGGCGCCGCGACGUGCAGCAGCCGGCAACGAGGGACGAUGGUCGAGCAGCCGCCCGUGACGAGGGCGGCCAGCAGCGCCGCGACGUGCAGCGGCCAGCGACACGGUUCGGCGAUGAGCUGCAGCAGCCCACAAGGAGGGGCGAUGCCGGCAGUAGGCCUUCACGCAGAAAUCGAUGGUGAUGAGUAGAAUUUGACGAGAAGAAAUGGAGAUGACAUCUUGCUCAGAUCAAUAGGAACAUUGUGUCUUCAAAGUGAAGAAAUACGAUUAUCCUCGACGAAGAUCAAGCAAUGAGAAGUCAUGGGAAAAAAAUUUCUUUGCAAGAUGAGAAGUCUAAUUGGCUCUUGAUACCAUGUUAUGAAUAGUGAUCAUAUUCAUGAGAGGGCAAUGGCCUAAGUAUAUAUACAGGUACAGGAGAAUGCCAAAAGACAAGUACAAGAGAAUGCCAAAAGGCCAAUAGAAAAGCCAUAAAUAUACAUCUAACACCUACGAUCAUCUUUUGUUAAUGCUUUUUAUCUAAGCAAAAUCAUGCACUGGUGUAUAUACAUGUAAUGUUGAACACGGAUAAUGGUGUGCCUGUCAGGAGGUUAGAAGGCGGCAGCGAAGAGGACCAGAAAAGGAGCAGGGGAAAAGAGGAUCGACACGGACGAAGAAAACCCUAAGCGCUAUGGAGCACGGCGGCAGCGAAGAGAAGUAGCGGAAAAAGGGUCAAUGCGGGAGCAGAAACCAAUCUCGCUGCUCACGGUCACGGGAGGGUAGAAGUGGAAGAAACAUUGGAUCCUUGACACACGUUAGAUUGGAUGGUGCAGAUGGCAUCAAUAAGUAUUGCCAGAACAGUAGAAUAGUAAUAUAGUAGCUGGGGGCAAAAGUUGUAGGAAAAAACAAUAGAUUUUAUAUGAUUUCGUGAGGUCCCCAUGUGUCACGCCCGGAAUUUCUAUGCAAAAUUCCAAACGCUUACAUGUGUGUGAACCCUC